UACGGAGGAUCCAAGCGUUAUCCGGAAUCAUUGGGUUUAAAGGGUCCGUAGGCGGUUUAAUAAGUCAGUGGUGAAAGCCCAUCGCUCAACGGUGGAACGGCCAUUGAUACUGUUAGACUUGAAUUAUUAGGAAGUAACUAGAAUAUGUAGUGUAGCGGUGAAAUGCUUAGAGAUUACAUGGAAUACCAAUUGCGAAGGCAGGUUACUACUAAUGGAUUGACGCUGAUGGACGAAGCGUGGGUAGCGAACAGG
rnacentral:rRNA from 1 species